rnacentral:tRNA from 1 species
UCCCUUGUAGCUCAGUCGGUAAAGAAUCUGCCUGUAGUGCAGGAGACCCAGGUUCAAUUCCUGGGUUGGGAA